rnacentral:rRNA from 1 species
UAUGCACGCUGGCGGCGUGCCUAAUACAUGCAAGUCGAGCGAACAGACGAGGAGCUUGCUCCUCUGAUGUUAGCGGCGGACGGGUGAGUAACACGUGGAUAACCUACCUAUAAGACUGGGAUAACUUCGGGAAACCGGAGCUAAUACCGGAUAACAUGUUGAACCGCAUGGUUCAACAGUGAAAGACGGUCUUGCUGUCACUUAUAGAUGGAUCCGCGCCGCAUUAGCUAGUUGGUAAGGUAACGGCUUACCAAGGCAACGAUGCGUAGCCGACCUGAGAGGGUGAUCGGCCACACUGGAACUGAGACACGGUCCAGACUCCUACGGGAGGCAGCAGUAGGGAAUCUUCCGCAAUGGGCGAAAGCCUGACGGAGCAACGCCGCGUGAGUGAAGAAGGUCUUCGGAUCGUAAAACUCUGUUAUUAGGGAAGAACAAAUGUGUAAGUAACUAUGCACGUCUUGACGGUACCUAAUCAGAAAGCCACGGCUAACUACGUG